GUCCACGCCGUAAACGAUGGACGCUCGUCGUCGGCGACAGACAGCCGGCGGCCAAGCGAAAGUGAUAAGCGUCCCACCUGGGGAGUACGGUCGCAAGGCUGAAACUCAAAAGGAAUUGACGGGGGCCCGCACAAGCGGUGGAGCAUGUGGUUUAAUUCGAUGAUACGCGAGGAACCUUACCCGGGCUAGAACGCAGCGGGACGGGGCCAGAGACGGCCCUUCCUUCGGGGCCGGCUGCGAGGUGCUGCAUGGUUGUCGU
rnacentral:rRNA from 1 species